GCUGUGGCGCAGUUGGUUGUGUGCUGGCUUAUGGCGCUAGAGGUCCCGGGUUUGAGUCUAGCGUAAGGCG